GGUCCCAUAGCUCAACUGAAUAGAGUAUCUGACUACGGAUCAGAAGGUUGCAGGUUUGAAUCCUGCUGGGAUCA
rnacentral:tRNA from 1 species